UUAUAGCAUCUCAAGUCCACACACCACACACUGCAUAGGGCAGCUUUAUUUUGUUUUGAAUGAAAAAAAAAGAGGAAAACUCCAGGAAAGAAAAAGAAAAAUUAAAUCGAAACUUCAGGAAGGGGAAUCGCAUCCGAAUCCUCUGAUUUAGUUGUAGGCGUCGGGGUUGGCGACGAGGUAGGCCUCGGCACCCUUGAAAAUGGCGGUGAGUGCCUCCUUAGCCUUUGCUUCCUCGUCCUUCUCGUCCAUGCCCGGCAGCAGCUUGUAGGUCGACUCCACCUUCACCACGCUGCCGCCGUUGGCUGCGGGCUCCACCUUGAUGUGCGACGCCGCG
rnacentral:lncRNA from 1 species